rnacentral:rRNA from 1 species
UACAGAGGUCUCAAGCGUUGUUCGGAUUCAUUGGGCGUAAAGGGUGCGUAGGUGGCGAGGUUAGUCAGGUGUGAAAUCUCGGGGCUCAACCCCGAAACUGCACUUGAUACUGCCUUGCUAGAGUACUGGAGAGGAGAUUGGAAUUCAUGGUGUAGCAGUGAAAUGCGUAGAGAUCAUGAGGAAGACCAGUGGCGAAGGCGGGUCUCUGGACAGUUCCUGACACUGAGGCACGAAGGCCAGGGGAGCAAACGGG